UAUGAUAACUCUUUAAAUGUGAACAAUGCUGAAGAAUUGGAUGUGCAAGUCAGAAAAAGAUGUUUGCAAGACUACUGGAAGAAAGCAAAAGAAAUUUUACACAGAAGAAACUCCAUUGAAAAACAGGAUGAUGAGGACAUUAUUGAGACUGGUAGAACAAUGAAAGCUCUGCUUUCAAAAAUAAAAGACAAGAAACCAAUGAUAGUAAAAGCCUGCUCCUUAAAACGACAUGUCAGAAUCCAGGAAACAGACCAGACUGUAAGUAUCGUGGUUUUCUCAG